rnacentral:rRNA from 1 species
GUCUAUGGCCAUGCCACCCUAAACAAGCCUGAUAUCUGAUCUCAGAAGCUAAGGAGGAUCGGGCCUGGUUAGUACUUGGAUGAGAAACCACCUAGGAAGACCAAGUGCUAUAGCCA